CAGGCUCCCCGGGGAGGGAGGGCAGCCAUACAUGCGGCCGGACCCGCUCCCUCUUCCGCUGCCAGGCUGAGCGGGUCAUGGUUUGCCGAUUCAUUUGCUGCUUUUGGAAAAAGGAACUCCAUACUUGGGCAAAAGUCUCACUUUGGGGAGAAUGAGUUAUGCAGAUACAUCAGUUUCAGAAGGCUAUGCUAUGGGCUGGAUAAACAAAAUGCAGUACAAGGAUAAGAACAGCUGUCAAGGCUAUACUGGAGAACUAUACCCAGAUGAAUUGCCCCUUCAUGAUCUGAAGUUUCCAUGUGUCUUUACCCAUCUGUUAAAUCUCUGUGACAUACUCCUGUGCAAUCAACAGAUCGAAGAGUCUGUUAUGCUCUAAAAAUACCCACAUGAAACAAACUGAGGAGCUCCAUAAAAACUUUUCAUAAAUAAAAAUACACGCUAUAAAACCAGCUUCACAACUGGAACCUAUGCUGAUAGGUUCAGCAGAAAGAACAGACUGAAAACUGAGCAAAUCGCUUCUCCACUGCGCUCUCUACUGAAACUUGAGAUAUGCAAAUGAAGUGGCAUCACAAAAACAUGUCUUGUUACUACUUCAUUAUGUGUCAGACAUCUAAAGAUGAAAGAUUUUGAUUUCCAGAACAAUUAACCUCAUAGCAAUGUUCAGUUCAUUUGCAAAAUGAGACUCUGGAAUGUGAGGUUUUCCUGCUUCAAGUCUCUUCUGCUCCCCUUUCAAGUAAGUUAUUGAACCAUAAUAAUUAAAAGCCCUGAAAGAAUGAUGAGUGUAAAGAGGAUUGUGCCUUUUUUGGAGAUAAUGACAUUCAGAUCUAUUGAUUCCUUCACUCAUUUGAACAAAGAAACAAUGGACCUGAUCCACAGCCUUCUGUAAUUAAUGAGAAGUUUUUCAACCUUGAACAUUCACUGAGCAAUUUUUGCUAAGAAGAAGUAUCUGUGUGGAAGACUGAAGUAGGGUAUAUUUAAAGAGUCCACGUUCACUUUCAUUACACUUCUCCCAAGCAUUCCCAAGAAAAUUCUGCAUCAUACUGGUACUGCUGGGGAACCAAAACAAAAUAGCCUUCAAAAGCCAGAUAAAUUCUGUGGUUAUAAACAAGAUCAGAAAAAGAGAUUGAAAUGAGGAUGAAACUCCAGCUGCCUCCAGGCUGCUUUUUGGUAUACCGAAACCCAAUUGCAUCAUCAUUGUCUAUGGCACCAAAUAUCUAGUCAGGGGGAAAAAAAAGUUGUUAUACAUUAAGUAACAGGUGAGUUUUCUGUUUACUAUUUUUCCAAAGAGGAACACCAGUUUGGAAGUUGAAUUACCACAAACUGAGAUGUUAUGAAGCUAUUACAAGCAGAUAUAAGCAAGAAUUUCAUGCAAACAUUUGUAAUGCUCAUAAAUAAGCAUAAUAAUUAAAAAGGUACACAAAGGGCCUCUACUGGUUCAAAUGACAUACUUUUUCCAGAGAAAAAAGAACGAGAAGAGGUAGAAAAAGGAGGCAAAACCAAACAUCCACAGAGCUUAUCUUCUGUUCCUCCCAAUCCUUUGUCCUCACAUUCCACCUUCCCAUUACUAUUUUUUUUUACCUAUUUUAAAAAAAUGGUUAUCUCCACCAGCCAUGAAUUGAAAAUGAAAUUUUCAAAGUACAUCAUUGAACUGAAGCAUCUGCACUCAGACAUUCAACAGUAACCAUCUCUAUUAACAACAAUAAGUUGCCCUAGGAACAAUUUAGUAUUUCCAAUAA